rnacentral:lncRNA from 1 species
AUAGUGAAGGCUUCAUGCCUCCUGUAUUUAACGUAAUAGUAGGAUGUAACAAGUUAGAAGUGAAUAAACUAUAAUGAUAUAUAUUGUAAAAUAAUUUUGUUUUUUGAUAUCCCAGCUGGUUAAGCCAAAGUAAAAUAUUUUGAAAUCGAUAGAAUAAUAUAUUGUCAUGAACUUCUAAGUAAAACGUGUAUAUAUAAAAUAUUAAUCAUCUCUAUAUACCCUAAUUUAUAAACGUAUCGUUUUCACACGGAUAGUAUAAUACAUGAUUCACAUUAUUGCGAAUACAUGAAUAGUUAAUAACAACAUCUAAUUUAAUAUGUCGUUUUCACAUGAAUUAACUUGAUAUAGCGUCAGCUAAACGAACUUUUCAUUGUUGAAAAAUAUUAUAUUGUCUCUUGCUUAACACUAUCAAUUAUCUAAUUUUAUUUUAUUUUGGAAAACCCAUUAGUUAUCUAAGUUAAGACUACAAAACUGAUAGUUUAUAGAUCAUUGAGUUUAAUUGAAUUAUAUAUAGGUUGAUUUUAAGAGAAAUUGUUCUUUAAAUUAAACACUACUCCCUCUAUUUCACAAAGAGGUCGGUUUUGAGUUUUUUUUUCAAAAACAAUAUUGUUUUACAUUUUCAAUGCAUCUUUUGUAACUAAUUUUCAGAUUUAUCUCUUGUCUAAAACCAAAAAAAAAUCUUUUUAUUUAAGUCAUUAUGAUAUAUUAAAUAUUAGUAUGUUUGUACAUUUAAAUAAUUUUUUUAAUAUAUGUGAAAUGUGUCAAAAUAACUGUUUAUGAAAAGAGGGAGUAUUACUUUAUGGGUUAAUUAAUUUUUUCUCCUAAAAAUAUUUAUUUAUAGAGAUUUAUUGUAUAUAUAGUCUUAUCCAAUGACACUAAAAAUUAUUCAAAAAAAUUUGAUUAUUAAUAUUUUAUAUAGUUUAAGACAAUUAGUUACCUAUUGUCUUAAACUAGUUAUAAUAGUUUGUUGUAAACCAUUAGUAAUAUGUUAUCACAAAAAAACAUAACAUAAAUAAAAUGAAACUAUAAAAUAAAAAAUGGUGGAAUAAGGUAUUGUAAUUUUAUUAAAUAAAUUAUUGUAAAUAGUAAAAAUUAUGUAGGUGUUAAAUAAUGAUGUGGAAUAGAGAAAAAAAUGAUGUAGAGUAUUAAAAGAAAAAAAAAUGGAUGUUGUAAAUUGGUCUUCCUACAUAAUAACAGAUUUUGUUAUAAAAGUCGCAUUACUAUAUUAUCAUCUGCAUGACCCAGAGGACAGCUGGUGUAAGAGAGCCGUUGAUAUGAUUUAUCCGUUCGUCGUUGGUCUUCCACUGACUCUAUAUAGCCAUGCAUGGGACGAUUUUGGGUUUUAAAAUUAGAAUGUUGUUAUGUGAUUUUUUCUUUUACAUUUCAAAAGUAAUAUGUGAAACCAUAAAACUGGAUCAAAGAUAAUAAUAAUAAAAAGAAUUAGGGUUGUGGUUUUUUUUGUGAAGAAGUUGUCCUAUAAAUGUAAAACCAGUCGAAAUGGUUUAUUUUACAAACCUUUAAAACAUUUCCCAAUAUUUUAACUAUUAUCAUCAAAUUAUAUUUUAAAAUUCAAAAAUAUUCUAUGAUUGAAUAAUAUAGUAUAUACUAUUUUCAUGCAAAUCAAUGCAGAAAUAAUUGAAUACACAUUCAUGAUCUAACCAAACAUAUUGAUCCGGUAUCCCUUGCUGAGAACUCUUUCAGAUCCACGGAGAGAAACGUGACUUCACCCCUAUUGGCGGAAGCAAUUGCCCUCCUUCGUGCCCUUAACCAAGCUGUAGAUCUUGGCUUUAAACACCUUCAUGUAGCUUCAGAUUCGCUUCAGCUAAUCAAAGCACUCAAUUCGGAGCUCCAACCAAAGGAACUUUAUGGGAUUCUCCACGACAUCUCACUUAUU